UACAACUUUCAGCAAUGGAUGUCUAGGUUCCCACAACGAUSAAGAACGCAGCGAAAUGCGAUACGUUAUGCGAAUUGCCCGAUCUCGUGAAUCAUCAAAACUUUGAACGCACAUUGCGCUCCAGGGUCACGCCCGGGAGCAUACUCAUUUGAGU
rnacentral:rRNA from 1 species